ACGGCGAGUGAAGCGGCAAAAGCUCAAAUUUGAAAUCUGGUACCUUCGGUGCCCGAGUUGUAAUUUGGAGAGGGCAACUUUGGGGCCGUUCCUUGUCUAUGUUCCUUGGAACAGGACGUCAUAGAGGGUGAGAAUCCCGUGUGGCGAGGAGUGCGGUUCUUUGUAAAGUGCCUUCGAAGAGUCGAGUUGUUUGGGAAUGCAGCUCUAAGUGGGUGGUAAAUUCCAUCUAAAGCUAAAUAUUGGCGAGAGACCGAUAGCGAACAAGUACAGUGAUGGAAAGAUGAAAAGAACUUUGAAAAGAGAGUGAAAAAGUACGUGAAAUUGUUGAAAGGGAAGGGCAUUUGAUCAGACAUGGUGUUUUGUGCCCUCUGCUCCUUGUGGGUAGGGGAAUCUCGCAUUUCACUGGGCCAGCAUCAGUUUUGGUGGCAGGAUAAAUCCAUAGGAAUGUAGCUUGCCUCGGUAAGUAUUAUAGCCUGUGGGAAUACUGCCAGCUGGGACUGAGGACUGCGACGUAAGUCAAGGAUGCU
rnacentral:rRNA from 1 species